AUACGGAGGGUGCGAGCGUUAAUCGGAAUUACUGGGCGUAAAGCGCGCGUAGGCGGCUAGAUCAGUCGGAUGUGAAAGCCCUGGGCUUAACCUGGGAACUGCAUUCGAUACUGUCUAGCUAGAGUAUGGUAGAGGGAAGCGGAAUUCCGGGUGUAGCGGUGAAAUGCGUAGAUAUCCGGAGGAACACCAGUGGCGAAGGCGGCUUCCUGGACCAAUACUGACGCUGAGGUGCGAAAGCGUGGGGAGCAAACAGGAUUAGAAACCCGAGUAGUCC
rnacentral:rRNA from 1 species